rnacentral:rRNA from 1 species
CCUACGGGGAGCAGCAGUGGGGAAUAUUGCACAAUGGGGGGAACCCUGAUGCAGCGACGCCGCGUGAGUGAAGAAGUAUUUCGGUAUGUAAAGCUCUAUCAGCAGGGAAGAAGAUGACGGUACCUGACUAAGAAGCCCCGGCUAACUACGUGCCAGCAGCCGCGGUAAUACGUAGGGGGCAAGCGUUAUCCGGAUUUACUGGGUGGAAAGGGGGCGUAGACGGCUGGGAAAGUCUGGAGUGAAAGGCCGGGGGCCAACCCCGGGACUGCUUUGGAAACUGCCAUGCUAGAGUGCUGGAGAGGAAAGCGGAAUUCCUAGUGUAGCGGUGAAAUGCGUAGAUAUUAGGAGGAACACCAGUGGCGAAGGCGGCUUUCUGGACAGUAACUGACGUUGAGGCUCGAAAGCGUGGGGAGCAAACAGGAUUAGAUACCCGAGUAGUC